rnacentral:rRNA from 1 species
AUUGAACGCUGGCGGCAGGCUUAACACAUGCAAGUCGAGCGAGCGGCGGACGGGUGAGUAAUGUCUGGGAAACUGCCUGAUGGAGGGGGAUAACUACUGGAAACGGUAGCUAAUACCGCAUACCUCAGGAUUUGCCCAGAUGGGAUUAGCUAGUAGUGGGGGUAAGGGCUCACCUAGGCGACGAUCCCUAGCUGGUCGGAGAGGAGGACCAGCCACACUGGAACUGAGACAUGGUCCAGACUCCUACGGGAGGCAGCAGUGGGGAAUAUUGCACAAUGGGCGCAAGCCUGAUGCAGCCAUGCCGCGUGUGUGAAGAAGGCCUUCGGGUUGUAAAGCACUUUCAGCGAGGAGGCGUUACUCGCAGAAGAAGCACCGGCUAACUCCGUGCCAGCAGCCGCGGUAAUUC